rnacentral:rRNA from 1 species
AGCAGCCGCGGUAAUUCCAGCUCCAAUAGCGUAUAUUAAAGUUGUUGCAGUUAAAAAGCUCGUAGUUGAAUUUCGGGGAUCAGACUGUCGGUUGUGCCUCGGUACGCACUGGCAUUAUUGGUUCCUACCUUCUGAAGAACCGCGAUGUCAUUAAUUUGGUGUCGCGGGGAAUCAGGACUGUUACUUUGAAAAAUUAGAGUGUUUAAAGCAGGCGCACGCUUGAAUACAUUAGCAUGGAAUAAUGAAAUAGGACGUUUGAUUCUAUUUUGUUGGUUUCUAGGAUCGACGUAAUGAUUAAUAGGGAUAGUUGGGGGCAUU